UAUCUCUGUAGAGUCUGCAUAUCAAUAAGCGGAGGAAAAGAAACUAACAGGGAUUCCCUUAGUAACGGCGAGUGAAGCGGGAAGAGCUCAAAUUUGAAAUCUUCAAGGUUUUACCUUGACGAAUUGUAGUUUAAAGAAGUGUUUUCUGUUGAAGUUUCGGUAAAAGUUCUUUGGAAUAGGACAUCAUAGAGGGUGAGAAUCCCGUAUUUGACCGUUAUUUUCAGCUGUGUGAUACACUUUCAAAGAGUCGGAUUGUUUGGGAAUGCAGUCCAAAAUGGGCGGUAAAUUUCAUCUAAAGCUAAAUAUUGGCGAGAGACCGAUAGCGAACAAGUACCGUGAGGGAAAGAUGAAAAGAACUUUGAAAAGAGAGUUAAACAGUACGUGAAAUUGUCAAAAGGGAAGCGUUUGACACCAGUGUUGUUUUCUCGAAAAUCAAUUAAAAAUAAAUUUGAUUUUGUGUUGUAUUGACCUUAAAAGCUUUCUUCACUUUUUUCAUGUUUAUUUUUAAUGCACUUUUCGUUUAACAGGUCAACAUCAGUUUCUCUUGUUGUAAAAAGGUCAUUGGAAGGUGGCUUUCUUUUCGGAGAAAGUGUUUAUAGCCUUUGACUCCUGCAAUCGGAGAGACUGAGGUCUGCAGCGUAGAUCCUUCUUGGAUUAGAUUCAUUUGUGCUAAGUUAUAGCUUUUCAUAGACAACUUGUUGACUAUGUUUAGUCUUGUAGCUUACUCGCUUAUGUAAUUUUACCUACGCUUAGGAUGUUGAUCUCUCACAGUCGAGC
rnacentral:rRNA from 1 species